rnacentral:rRNA from 1 species
AUUGAACGCUGGCGGCAUGCCUUACACAUGCAAGUCGAACGGUAACAGGUCUUCGGAUGCUGACGAGUGGCGAACGGGUGAGUAAUACAUCGGAACGUGCCCGAUCGUGGGGGAUAACGAAGCGAAGGCUUUGCUAAUACCGCAUACGAUCUACGGAUGAAAGCAGGGGACCGCAAGGCCAUGCGCGAACGGAGCGGCCGAUGGCAGAUUAGGUAGUUGGUGGGAUAAAAGCUUACCAAGCCGACGAUCUGUAGCUGGUCUGAGAGGACGACCAGCCACACUGGGACUGAGACACGGCCCAGACUCCUACGGGAGGCAGCAGUGGGGAAUUUUGGACAAUGGGCGAAAGCCUGAUCCAGCCAUGCCGCGUGCAGGAUGAAGGCCUUCGGGUUGUAAACUGCUUUUGUACGGAACGAAAAGACUCUGGUUAAUACCUGGGGUCCAUGACGGUACCGUAAGAAUAAGCACCGGCUAACUACGUGCCAGCCGCCGCUGUAAGAC